rnacentral:rRNA from 1 species
CCUACGGGAGGCAGCAGUGAGGAAUAUUGGUCAAUGGGCGCAAGCCUGAACCAGCCAAGUCGCGUGAGGGAUGACGGGCCUAUGGAUUGUAAACCUCUUUUGUCGGGGAGCAAGGCCCGCCACGUGUGGCGGGAAGGAGCGUACCCGAAGAAAAAGCAUCGGCUAACUCCGUGCCAGCAGCCGCGGUAAUACGGAGGAUGCGAGCGUUAUCCGGAUUUAUUGGGUUUAACGGGUGCGUAGGCGGAAGGUUAAGUCAGCGGUCAAAUGUCGGUGCGCAACACCGGCCUGCCGUUGAAACUGGUCGUCUUGAGUGCGCGAGAAGUAUGCGGAAUGCGUGGUGUAGCGGUGAAAUGCAUAGAUAUCACGAAGAACUCCGAUGGCGAAGGCAGCAUACCGGCGCUCAACUGACGUUGAGGCACGAAAGCGUGGGGAUCGAACAGGAUUAGAUACCCCUGUAGUC